UCAGCCGUCGAACCUGGAAGAAGGUAGACGUGUUUCCGUGGUGAUAUCCCGCGGAAACUAACGAAAGGUUCCGCGUGUAUCUUUAUCUUUACAAUUUGAAUCAAAAGACAUGAAAGUGAAAGUGACAGUGCUGAACGUAAUUAUACCAAUAAAUAAAAAAACAAACAAACGAAAUAAUAAAAGCUCAUUGACUCAAUAAAACACCAAAUUAAAAUAUAUAAACAUAAAAGUUGAAAGAUCGAAAUGUGGAACCAUUAGUAACCGGCCAGUCUAUAAUGGGCAGUCUAACGAUAAAAACAAAAAUAAUAAAAACUAAACAAAACUACAACAAAUUAUAUAUAAAAGGACACAUUAAAUUCUCAACAUUUUCUGUAUCUCUCGGGAGGUAGCCCAGCUCACGGGGAUAUAAUAAAGAGAAAAGGGAGAUAAGAAAAAAUAUAAACAUAAACAUUGACAUAGCGUUCGCUUGGGAGAUAGAACGAAGGAUGUGAUCCACAUAGUCUUCGGUAUGCUGUGUGAUUUCCCUGGAAUCACCUAUUCUGGUUUUCUUUUCCUCACGCAACACAGCAUUCACUUCAAAAUAAACCCACAUUCAAAACAAAACACAUAUGUACAGGAAGCUCACACCAACUUCAAAAAAAAAAAUAUCGACCCUUGGCCGAAGCGGUUUAUUUACCAGUGGCCAGGCUAGCUUCACGGUACACUAUAUGUGACGCUAAAGAAGGUCCCUCUAGUGUGCGCGGUGUGUAGGUGAUGGAAUACCUAAACCUAACCUAGCAAGUUGUAAACUUCUAGUGAGCGCGGGGUGCGUUGUCUGCGCGAUGUUUUCCGCGUUGGUAAAUAUUGUUACGAUUGCGAAUUCAUAAAACGUAGCGUGAUUUUAAUCCUCGAGAUCAGAAUACUAAAGUGAGUGGUGCCCGUGAACUAUUUGUAAUAUAAAACAAACUUGAAUAUAUCAUACCUGCAGAAUCUUCGAAAUUUCUUUAACGAUGGACGACAAGUUGCGACAAAUGGAGGACGAAAUGAACAGGUUCGAGGCGGAAAUCGGAGGUCAAUUAGUGACACCGAUGAUAAGACCAGUGAUAGGAGCAAAUACCUACAGUCAGGUUGCCAGGCAAUUGGAACAACAUGAAAUGCCAGGGCCUGUUGUAGCAGCUGGAGCUGCUGCAACUAUGGCUUUCCCACCUAUCAUGGGAUUUCCUCCUCCGCCACCGCCGCCGCCACCUCCACCACCGCCGAUGCUGAUACCGCCUCAAGUUGCUCGACAAGGAAGCGUGCCAAUCACGACGUAUUCUUCACCGGCACAACUCAGCAAUCCUUACGUAUCUAACAUGGAUCUCAGCUCAACCCCCAAAACGUAUGAUCCCCCUUCGUCCGGAUCUGUUAUUCAUCCCGAAAUCAUUGAACAGAUAAUAAACACGAAAAUACCGGAAGAGGAAUCCAAAAGAAAACUCAAACCUAAAGGGGUCAGUACAGCUGCGGAAUUGGCUAUCAGCCAAGGAAAAGCUAGCUCGAUAAUGGCAAAUGCUAGUGCCGAAGAAACGCAUCCAAAAGGAAAGGGAAAAAAGAAUAAAAAAAUUAUCAGGAUGGCUGGUGGACAGACGUGGGAAGAUCAGUCGUUGCUAGAGUGGGACGAUGAUGAUUUUCGAAUAUUUUGCGGUGAUUUGGGCAACGACGUGACGGAUGAAAUGUUGGUUCGUGUAUUUGGUAAAUACCCGAGUUUCCAAAAGGCAAAGGUGGUACGUGACAAGCGGACGAACAAGACGAAGGGUUUCGGUUUCGUCUCGUUUAAGGAUCCACAGGACUUUAUUAAGGCAAUGAAAGAGAUGAACGACUGUGACUGUGAAAUUUACGGGCCUGCCAGAGUAGUGACUGCGCAGCGUGGACGAAUCAUCACCUGUGUAUCGUCGAGCGAAUCGUCCAAAUCCACUUGGGAGUAACAAUAACCUGAAAAAAUUAUAAAUAACUUAUAAAAAAGCGCUAAAAAUAGCCGAUACCUCGCUGUUUCCCAACUCUGUAUGAGACGCUGAACGAAACGAAAUUGAGAAAAGGGCAGCGAGAGCAUUCGCUGAAGAACGAACCACUCGAGAUGAUAAUGCAAACGAGAUGGAGAAAGAGGUGUUACGAGUCAUUUCGCCAUAAGUGCAUAGUACUAUUUCAUGAUUCAUCAUUAACUUGAUGACAGCAAUGACCGUGCUGAGUCUUGUGCCACUUUUUUAUCUUACUUUUACGUCAGAUUUGGUUACUCAGAAAUGCGAUUGGUAUUUAUAGUAACAAUGGGAAAGCUAUUUUGUGGGCAGCCUGCUGCCACAUGACGUAUGCACCAUUAAAGGCUUUCAUACUCCAAUUUCUCUCUACAAAAUUAGCCAAAAAUUUUGGCAUUCCAUUGAUUUCCAAUGAAAUAAACGAAGCACGCAACGCCCUUGGGUUGAACAAUGAAUUCAAUUGAAAGGAAGGUACGUCGGGUCGAGACCAAUAAAGUUGCGGAAGAGCUCGUGGAAGCAGAGGAAUCUCGAAACAGUGAGAAAAAAGGAAAAAGAAAAGCAGGCUUUAAUCGGGCUCUUGACUGGUCGGUGAUGCA
rnacentral:misc_RNA from 1 species